rnacentral:rRNA from 1 species
UACGUAGGGUGCGAGCGUUGCCCGGAUUUAUUGGGCGUAAAGGGCGCGUAGGCGGCUCGGCACGUCCGUUGUGAAAUCGCCCGGCUCAACUGGGCGGGGUCAGCGGAUACGGCCGAGCUUGAGCAAGCUAGGGGGCAAUGGAAUUCCCGGUGUAGUGGUGGAAUGCGUAGAUAUCGGGAGGAACACCAGUGGCGAAGGCGGUUGCCUGGAGCUUUGCUGACGCUGAUGCGCGAAGGCCAGGGGAGCAAACGGG